ensembl:ncRNA F31F6.11 ncRNA
CAGAGGCCACGCCUUCUUGUGCUGAAGAAAUUCUAGAGUGUCCACUGGAAGGCGUUUGGUAAAAGAACGCGGGGGCAUAGAAAACUUGAAAUGGUAAAUUGCAUAAAACAAGUAAGAAACAGUAAAGUGCUUGUUCUGAGAUUUAUCUGAAAUUGAUUCAUCGAAAAAUUAAAUUUACUCCGGUUUUAAAAGUCGUAAGACAAUAAACGUGUCUUUG